GGCGCAGCAGCUGGUGUUGUGAAUCAGGCCGUGACCACUGAGAAAACGGCUACUUCACAACACCAGGGUCGCUUCU
rnacentral:pre_miRNA from 12 species